CUCACUAUGUGUAUAACACACACGUGUCGACACAUUCGCCGGGGUGCCUGUAAUGGUUUUUCCAUUCUGGUCGGUGUAAUGGGACACGUGGAGGCAUAAC
rnacentral:sRNA from 16 species